UUGAACGCUGGCGGCAUGCCUUACACAUGCCAGUCGAACGGCAGCACGGGUGCUUGCACCUGGUGGCGAGUGGCGAACGGGUGAGUAAUACAUCGGAACAUGUCCUGUAGUGGGGGAUAGCCCGGCGAAAGCCGGAUUAAUACCGCAUACGAUCUACGGAUGAAAGCGGGGGACCUUCGGGCCUCGCGCUAUAGGGUUGGCCGAUGGCUGAUUAGCUAGUUGGUGGGGUAAAGGCCUACCAAGGCGACGAUCAGUAGAUGGUCUGAGAGGACGACCAGCCACACUGGGACUGAGACACGGCCCAGACUCCUACGGGAGGCAGCAGUGGGGAAUUUUGGACAAUGGGCGAAAGCCUGAUCCAGCAAUGCCGCGUGUGUGAAGAAGGCCUUCGGGUUGUAAAGCACUUUUGUCCGGAAAGAAAUCCUUGGCUCUAAUACAGUCGGGGGAUGACGGUACCGGAAGAAUAAGCACCGGCUAACUACGUG
rnacentral:rRNA from 1 species